CUCUAGGCUACCCUGCCGACCCAGAAUGAUUUGAUCCAUGACUGAAAUAGACCAUAUCUUCCCAUGUAAGAUGGGAAGACCGGAAACCCAGUGACAACACUCGGGUCUGGCCCUGUAUUUUCUAGAAAAUGUAGCUCAUCCACCAUGGCAGAAGAGGAAGACUGUCGGACUGUCAGACUGUCGAUUGGGAAAACAAGAACAGAAACGAUGAAAGUUGAGUGUUGAGGGACCACUUGGAUUUUUAGAUGCAUUGACAUUUUGACUUUGUCCUUUUCCCAUGUUUUAGACAUGAGGCGUGACAUGCAGAACAGGCUCACCCCACGAGAAGCUGUGCAUGAUUAAUUCCACCCUCAGCAAGGAGACCAGAGGGUACUCUCACUCUGGGGGUACAGGCAGGGGUGACUGGGUCCUUAAGCAAGUAAGACACAGGUACUGUCAGGAGGAGGAGUCUGUCAGAGGUUGUCACGCUGGAUGGGGAUGAGAAGAAGCAGACACAAAUAGGUGUUGUCAGCCACAAAACGUUAAAAAAGAAGAAGAAGCCUAUGAGCAGAGAGCACUUGACAAACAUUUGUCUUGAAGUAGAAUUACAGAAAUCAUUGCGGUGUUAAAACUAAACUUGAAGCUGCUUCAUUGGGCAUGUUGUUUAUAUGGAUUAAACAUAUGUUUGUGUUGAUAAAUACACAGGAAUAUAAAUUAAUUUAGUGAAAAGACAUGCAAGACUACUGUAACGGCAAUCCUUUCAAACAUGUUUUUAUUAUGGUAGGCUAAAUAAUUAAUAUUAGUGACUAUCACUAACACUCACUCAGAAUCACAGUGUUUUGUCAUGUAGGACUGUUCACAGCACAAGGCCCAAAUAAAUCAUUGUUGUGAUUAUUUAGGCUGUUCAUGUCUCACACUAAACACUAUUGACGCCAUUGUAAAAAUCCGUGGGGCUUGCCUUCACUGAUAUUCAGCAUCAAACAGUCACUGGAAUGAAGCAAAUAAUAAUCUCCUAGUUGACUUAAACAGGCCAUGUUAGCAUUAAGUGCUUAAACAGCUUAUGUAACUUUAACAUCAAACAGAUUCUCCUCAAGAAAAAUGCCUCAAUUGAUUUGACUGCUCACAAACUAAUCAGUCAUUGAAUGUAAAAUAAUGAUGAUGAUAAUAUAAACAAUUUGUACUAUAAUUAGCCACAACUGAAGUUCCCCUUGGGGAAAAAAAUACAAUUAUUCUAUUAAAUAAAAA